rnacentral:rRNA from 1 species
UACGUAGGGUGCGAGCGUUGUCCGGAAUUAUUGGGCGUAAAGGGCUCGUAGGUGGUUUGUCGCGUUGUUCGUGAAAACUCACAGCUCAACUGUGGGCGUGCGGGCGAUACGGGCAGACUAGAGUACUGCAGGGGAGACUGGAAUUCCUGGUGUAGCGGUGGAAUGCGCAGAUAUCAGGAGGAACACCGGUGGCGAAGGCGGGUCUCUGGGCAGUAACUGACGCUGAGGAGCGAAAGCGUGGGGAGCGAACAGG